AGUGAACGCUGGCGGCAGGCCUAAUACAUGCAAGUCGAACGGCAGCACAGUGGAGCUUGCUCCAUGGGUGGCGAGUGGCGGACGGGUGAGGAAUACAUGGGAAUCUGCCCAGUCGUGGGGGAUAACGUAGGGAAACUUACGCUAAUACCGCAUGCGCCCUUCGGGGGAAAGCCGGGGACCUUCGGGCCUGGCGCGAUUGGAUGAGCCCAUGUCGGAUUAGCUAGUUGGCGGGGUAAAGGCCCACCAAGGCGACGAUCCGUAGCUGGUCUGAGAGGAUGAUCAGCCACACUGGAACUGAGACACGGUCCAGACUCCUACGGGAGGCAGCAGUAGGGAAUAUUGGACAAUGGGCGCAAGCCUGAUCCAGCCAUGCCGCGUGAGUGAAGAAGGCCUUCGGGUUGUAAAGCUCUUUUGUCCGGAAAGAAAAGCAUCCAGUUAAUACCUGGAUGUCCUGACGGUACCGGAAGAAUAAGCACCGGCUAACUUCGUGCCAGCAGCCGCGGUAAUACGAAGGGUGCAAGCGUUACUCGGAAUUACUGGGCGUAAAGCGUGCGUAGGUGGUUUGUUAAGUCUGAUGUGAAAGCCCUGGGCUCAACCUGGGAAUGGCAUUGGAUACUGGCAGGCUAGAGUGCGGUAGAGGGCAGUGGAAUUCCCGGUGUAGCAGUGAAAUGCGUAGAGAUCGGGAGGAACAUCUGUGGCGAAGGCGACUGCCUGGACCAGCACUGACACUGAGGCACGAAAGCGUGGGGAGCAAACAGGAUUAGAUACCCUGGUAGUCCACGCCCUAAACGAUGCGAACUGGAUGUUGGGUGCAACUUGGCACUCAGUAUCGAAGCUAACGCGUUAAGUUCGCCGCCUGGGGAGUACGGUCGCAAGACUGAAACUCAAAGGAAUUGACGGGGGCCCGCACAAGCGGAGGAGCAUGUGGUUUAAUUCGAUGAUACGCGAGGAACCUUACCAGGGCUCGAACGCAGGAGGAAUACUCCCGAAAGGAAGUAGCCAGAAAUGGCCGCCUGCGAGGUGCUGCAUGGUUGUCGUCAGCUCGUGCCGUGAGGUGUCAGGUUAAGUCCUAUAACGAGCGCAACCCCUAUUCAUAGUUGCCAGCAUAUUACGGUGGGGACUCUAUGAAAACUGCCUGCGCAAGCAGUGAGGAAGGUGGGGAUGACGUCAAAUCAGCACGGCCCUUAUGUCCUGGGCUACACACGUGCUACAAUGGCCGGUACAGAAGGCCGCAACCACGCAAGUGGAAGCUAAUCCCCAAAACCGGUCUCAGUUCGGAUUGGAGUCUGCAACCCGACUCCAUGAAGCCGGAUUCGCUAGUAAUCGCACAUCAGCCAUGACGCGGUGAAUACGUUCCCGGGCCU
rnacentral:rRNA from 1 species